GUUUUUUUGCCCCUAGUAUUUCACUUUCCCCUUUUUCUUGGAAAAAAAUUAAAGAUAUUUAUGUAGUUUCUUCAUGUACUCCAGUUUAUUAAGAAACUUUAGACUUGAGUAAAGGGGAAGAGGUAAAACCAGUUUGUGAAAUAUCUGAUUGGGAAAGGCAUCUAGAGGAAAAAUUUAAAGGGCAUGUGCAAAUAACAUUUAUAUGAAAAUUUAAAAAGACUAUCAUCAUUGUUUCCAGACCGUUAUAUUGCUCAGCUACAUAAUUUCUAUUGGAACAUAAGGAAGUGCGCAAGCAGAGGGAAAGCUUGAAACUUGAAGGAUUAAGAAAAGGGUUAAUUUACCUGAAUUCAAGCCCAAGUCCUUCCAGCUCCAAAAUUCAAGGACUUCCAUCAAAGAAACCCGAAAACCUGACUGACUCGAACUGAAAAAUUAUGCCCCGCUAAAAGUAUCAGAAUUUGUUUCUAAGAAGGAAGAAAAAGAUGGAUGUUGGAGGAAGCAGCUGACAGUCUCGGCGACACUGUUGCACACACUCAGCCGAGGUCCAGAAGCGGGUGCUCCUCCUUCUGACAGAGCGUCAGAAGGUCAAGAGUCGCCUCGUGUUACGUCACGACCUGCGUCACUCGCCUCUUCCUCUCCUCGUGUGGCUUUUAUCAUCUCCCAGCAUCACAGGAAAGGGUGAGUCCACCACGAUAAGACAUUUUGAGAAAGAUACCACAUUCACAGACCAGUUAUUACAGC
rnacentral:lncRNA from 1 species